UCCACGCCGUAAACGAUGCACACUAGGAAUUCGGAGUAUCGACCCUCUGAUUUUCGAAGCUAACGCGUUAAGUGUGCCGCCUGGGUAGUACGGCCGCAAGGCUAAAACUCAAAGGAAUUGACGGGGACCCGCACAAGCGGUGGAACAUGUGGUUUAAUUCGACGACAAGCGAAGAACCUUACCAGGACUUGACAUCUCUGGAAUCUCCUAGAAAUAGAAGAGUGCCUUCGGGAACCAGAAGACAGGUGUUGCACGGUCGUCGUCAGCUCGUGCU
rnacentral:rRNA from 1 species